UGGGGAAUAUUGUGCAAUGGGCGAAAGCCUGACACAGCGACGUCGCGUGAAGGAUGAAGGUCUUUGGAUUGUAAACUUCUGUUAUGCGGAAAGAAAGACCGUUGGUUAAUACCCAGCGGGGAUGACGGUACCGCAAGAGAAAGCCCCGGCUAAUUUCGUGCCAGCAGCCGCGGUAAUACGAGGGGGGCAAGCGUUGUUCGGAUUUACUGGGCGUAAAGGGUGUGUAGGUGGUACUUUAAGUUAAACGUGUAAUCUUGCAGCCUAACUGCAUGUUUGCGUUUAAAACUGAGGUACUUGAGGCUGGAAGAGGGAAAUGGAAUUCUCGGAGUAGCGGUGAAAUGCGUAGAUCUCGAGAGGAACACCAGUGGCGAAGGCGGUUUCCUGGUCCAAGUCUGACACUAAUACACGAAAGCGUGGGGAGCAAACA
rnacentral:rRNA from 1 species